UUUUUCUUUUCCCCUAUCCUUCCCGCCCGUAGUUUCUUGUGGACUAACCAACCCUAGAUCUGGAUCUUGUUCCGCUCUUAUUCGUUCUUCAGGGCUGCUGAGGACGUAUCCCGAUGGCUUCUUCACGCCUGUGCGCCACUUAAUUCUCGCCUCAUUAACAUCCACGAGGUCCAGUUUCAGUGAGAGCUGAGAGCUUUCUAUCUUCUCAAGUUUAUAUUCCAGCGCACGAUCUGGUCUCCAUGUGCCUGUACCAUGGCCCUUCCUCGAGAGUCUUCUUGCCCAAGAAAUGGGGGCGUUGUUUGAAAGCAGUGAAGUUCGCACCUCGCUCCUCGAGCUACCAGCAGAGGGCGGCGGAUCGCUUGUCUCCUUCCCCGGAUCUGGAGGCUUCGGAUGAGGAGGUGGGGCGAGGUGUCGGUGGGGGUGUGCACAGACGAGGGAGGGGCCGAAGGCGAGGUAGUCAUGGAAGCGUUGAAAAGGAGAAUUUACUGACCCUCGUCCUGCUGUGAGGGGAGGGGGGCUUCUUUAAUCGUCGAAGAAGGCGGAUUUGCACUUCUUUCGAUCGUUCUCCGCAGCUGAUGGGUUCCAGGUAAGCUUUUGUUCCGACCUCUCGCUGAGAAAGUCGAGUUUUUGUUCCGGAUUCUGGAAGAGCCCGAUGACAGAGGAUUUGCUUGUUCUUUUCAUUUUUGUUUUUGUUUUACUUUGGGUUGAUUUUAAUGGUUUAAAAUUAGCCAAGACGGGGUUUCAUCCAUAAAGGAAAGUUGUUACUUCUUUCUUUGUUGGGGAUGGCAAGCGGUGUGGAAGGCUUGCUUCUUGUUAUAAGCUAUGCAUGCGCAUCGCUGAACCACCAAACAGUGAAAAGAUUUUUCGUUUUUUGGAUACUUUGGGUGUUCAAGAGCUUUUGAUGUGCGUCAGAUAUUUGUCUGGUUUAUGUCGAAGUUGGAACUGGAUGUUCGUAUCGUUUCAGUUCUUCCGAAAUGUAGUAAUUGCAUUCUUUCAGUUCUUCUAGAAACAGUAAUUGUCUGAAGAAUUCAUUUUUGUUUAAUCAAAAUGUAUUAUGUAUGACAACCUCUGCUAGGGUCAGCUUCUCUUUAACCUUUUCUUUCAACAGUGCAUCAUUCUUGAUUUUGAUCAUUGUAACUUGUAAGUGGUAUCCUUUUGCCGUGUUUUUAAUCUUCGACUUGGUUGGUGUUGUUUUUUGCAUGGAAAUUAUGGUUUUGUAAUAACUCAUAUUGAUACCUUUUCCAUUCUUUUACCAGUAUAAUUUGUUGAUCUAGGUCAUUGAAUCUGGAUUUCACCUUAGUGGGUUGUCUAAUAUAUAGAGGAUAAUGUUAUCUUAGUUAUAUUUACUGUGUACUCAUGUGUGCUCUACUUGAUCGAAGUUAUCAGAAGACUUGGUAGUGUUUGAUUGGGUAUUUAGAUGUUUAAUGGUCACCUGAAUUUUGAUUGUAUCUUGGAAGUGAGAGAUUUUCGAAGAAAAUGUUUGUGCUUCGACAGUUCUCUUGGUCCUUUGGCACAGCCUGUCAUGGUGAUGAUAUUUCUCUUUUAAUACUUGUUUGGAUCAUAUAAAACCAUCAAUUCCUGCAUAGUUUCUAGCUUAUGAGCUUUAAGUUUAUGAAUUAUUUGGUAGAAAGCUACAGGACCCACAUCCUAGGCAGGGUGGAUUGAAUUGUCCUGUUACAACAAAACCUCUUGGGUUAUUUUCACGUGCUCUUGAAUUUAGCUGUGAUUAUAAUUUGUAGAACUUGGAUAUAUAGCAUCCACUCCUCAGAGGUGUACGAAUCACCUCGACAUAAAUACUGCAGUUUGCUUGUGCCUGGAAUUACUAGAUAAUUGGCAGAUCAAAUUCAAAUGAUUCUUUCUCCUCUGGGAAUGUACUGAUUUCUUAAUAUGAUGUAAAACCUGUGAUUAGUUUUAGGGUCAGUCGUUUGGUUGUAGAACAGAACACAAUCCCAAUAGUGUUCCAUGAAAGAUAUUCAGAUAACUUUAUGACGAGCUAUCAAUUGAAUGUGAAUUUUGUAAAUAGUUAUUCUUAUAAUUCCAGAGUUCCUCUAGGUAUUCCUCUAAACUCUCCCAAGAGUUCUUGGUAGACUUGGUUCUCAGAAUACAAGUGGGUUGGUUCUAAAUGGUGAAAGAUCUCUGCUGAUUAGCCAUGAACAGAAUGGAGGUGUCGUUCCAGUAACUAGUCCAUUAGUCAGUGGAAGAAGAGAUGUCAGCAGG